GAUCGCCCCUCAGCCGUCAGACUCCGCCCACGUCAAGCGCCGCCUCCUGAACUGCCAGCGGCCCCGCUACGGCCCGCGCCCUCCAGGCGGGUGGCCCAGCCUCGAAGACUGCAGGUUGAUGGCACCUCUGUCCUUCCAGUGACUGAGACUGCACAGCCCAGGAUCAUCCUGACCUCUCUUCCGCACCCGUGCCAACCCGUCAGGAAAUGUUGACUCCACCAACACUGCCCCAGCCCGGGACAGUUUCCAUCCUCCCUGACCUGACCCCACAGCAGCUCCUCCCUGGGCUCUGUGCUCCCUGCCUGCCCGCACAGUCUGCUCCCCAUCCACAGCCAGAGGGAGCCUGUGAUACCCUGAGUCAGGUCUGGGCCCUCUCCUGGCCACACUUCUCUCCUGAAUAUUAGCUGCUCAAGGGAUUGCUGUCCGUCUUGUUCACUGCUGGGUACUGAGUUCCUAGAACAGUGCCUAGCACACCUUAGGGGAGAUAGUACAGCAAGCAUACUAAAGUCCUCCACCAUCUUCCAGAUUCCUUUGAAUUCAGACAUGGUUAUGACUUGUUUUGGCCAAUAAAAUGUGAA